AAGUAACAGACUUCUAGAUGCCACUAAUGGUGCUUCAAGUGAGUGAAGAAGAAGCAGGACUGCAGCAAAGUGACAGACGUCUACCUGAGGCCCCACCAAUCAGCCAAGUUAAAAUUUUAACACCAUUGCAGACUGCUAAUACUGGAAGUCGCAGUACUAUUCCCUGGCUGAAGAAUCCACUUCUCCCUCUGGAAAUGAUGUGGCAACCUACUGAUGCCCUACGUGGAGAGCAUGACCUAAACAAAAACCAUGCAGACUUGUUUUCCUCACCACCACCUCAACCAGAGCCUUCAAAAGUUCAGAAGUCCUGGAUACCAUCUGAAGUUUCACCAAGACCAUGCAAAAACCUGGACACCCCCAUCACAGCUACAAAGGACUCCUGCUGAAG